UGCAAGUCGAACGUUCUUUUGUUUUUCGGAACAAGAGGGAGUGGCGGACGGGUGAGUAACACAUGGGUGACCUGGCCUGAAGUGAGGGAUACCGGCGAGAAAUCGCCGACAAGCCCGCAUGGGUUCACUGCGGUGGAGCGCAGGGAGCAAAGUUUUUCGCAAGGGAGACGCUUUGGGAUGGGCCUGUGGCCGAUUAGCUAGUUGGUGGGGUAAGAGCCUACCAAGGCGACGAUCGGUAGCUGGUCUGAGAGGACGAACAGCCACACUGGGAUUGAGAACGGCCCAGACUCCUACGGGGGGCAGCAGUGAGGAAUUUUCCGCAAUGGACGCAAGUCUGACGGAGCAACGCCGCGUGCAGGAGGACGCUUUUCGGAGUGUAAACUGCUUUUCUCUGGGACGAGAGUGGACGGUACCAGAGGAAGAAGCCCCGGCUAACUACGUGCCAGCAGCCGCGGUAAUACGUAGGGGGCGAGCGUUGUCCGGAGUUACUGGGCGUAAAGGGCAUGCAGGCGGUCGGACGCGUUUUGUGUGACAGCGGGUGGCUCAACUACCCGAGCAUACGAAAGACGGUUGGACUUGAGGGCUCGAGAGGGACACGGAAUUCCGGGUGGAGUGGUGAAAUGCGUAGAGAUCCGGAGGAACACCGAAGGCGAAGGCAGUGUCCUGGCGAGUGACUGACGCUGAGGUGCGAAAGCCAGGGGAGCGAACGGGAUUAGAUACCCCGGUAGUCCUGGCCGUAAACGAUGACCACCAGGUGUGGGAGGUAUCGACCCCUUCUGUGCCAAAGGAAACCCAUUAAGUGGUCCGCCUGGGAGUACGGUCGCAAGAUUA
rnacentral:rRNA from 1 species